rnacentral:misc_RNA from 1 species
AAGUCGUAACAAGGUCUCCGUAGGUGAACCUGCGGAGGGAUCAUCUAUAAAAAAAAUAUGAUGAUGAUGAUGAUGAUGAUGAUGUUUAUUCAUCAUCAUCAUCAUUAUUCAUAUAUUAUCCAUUAUAGGAUGUUUUGGUGUUGUUAUUAUAUAAUAUUCUUAUAAUGUUGCAGGAUGGAAUUGUGUGUAUGUGUAUGUGUGUGUGUGUCGGUGUUUGUGUGUGUGUUGUAUGUGUGUUUGUGUUUUAAGGAGUAUUGUUACUCUUUUUAACCUUCCCCACAUACACUCUACUCUUAUUACUACCCAUCACUACACCAAUAAAAAACCAACCAGGAUCAUAAAUUCCAAACAAAGUUUAUAACUUUUGGCAACGGAUCUCUUGGUUCUC